UACGAAGGGGGCUAGCGUUGCUCGGAAUCACUGGGCGUAAAGGGUGCGUAGGCGGGUCUUUAAGUUAGGGGUGAAAUCCUGGAGCUCAACUCCAGAACUGCCUUUGAUACUGAAGAUCUUGAGUUCGGGAGAGGUGAGUGGAACUGCGAGUGUAGAGGUGAAAUUCGUAGAUAUUCGCAAGAACACCAGUGGCGAAGGCGGCUCACUGGCCCGAUACUGACGCUGAGGCACGAAAUCGUGGGGAGCAAACAGG
rnacentral:rRNA from 1 species